rnacentral:rRNA from 1 species
AUUGAACGCUGGCGGCAGGCCUAACACAUGCAAGUCGAGCGGAUGAAGGGUGCUUGCUCCUGGAUUCAGCGGCGGACGGGUGAGUAAUGCCUAGGAAUCUGCCUGGUAGUGGGGGAUAACGUCCGGAAACGGGCGCUAAUACCGCAUACGUCCUGAGGGUGAAAGUUGGGGAUCUUCGGACCUCUCGCUAUCAGAUGAGCCUAGGUCGGAUUAGCUAGUUGUUGGGGUAAAGGCCUACCAAGGCUACGAUCCGUAACUGGUCUGAGAGGAUGAUCAGUCACACUGGAACGGAGACACGGACCAGAGGACUACGGGAGGCAGCAGUGGGGAAUAUUGGACAAUGGGCGAAAGCAUGAUACAGCCAUGCCGCGUGUGUGAAGAAGGACUUCGGAUUGUAAAGAACUUUAAGUUGGGAGGAAGGGCAGUAAGUUAAUACCUUGCUGGAUUGACGUUAACAACAGAAUAAGCACCGGCUAACUUCGUG